UACGAAGGGUGCAAGCGUUACUCGGAAUUACUGGGCGUAAAGCGUGCGUAGGUGGUGAGUUAAGUCUGUCGUGAAAGCCCCGGGCUCAACCUGGGAAUGGCGAUGGAUACUGGCUCGCUAGAGUGCAGAAGGGGCAACUGGAAUUCUCGGUGUAGCGGUGAAAUGCGUAGAUAUCGAGAGGAACACCUGCGGCGAAGGCGGGUUGCUGGGCUGACACUGACGCUGAUUGUGCGAAAGCUAGGGGAGCGAACGGG
rnacentral:rRNA from 1 species